rnacentral:rRNA from 1 species
GAUGAACGCUGGCGGCGUGCCUAAUACAUGCAAGUCGAGCGAACAGACGAGGAGCUUGCUCCUCUGACGUUAGCGGCGGACGGGUGAGUAACACGUGGAUAACCUACCUAUAAGACUGGGAUAACUUCGGGAAACCGGAGCUAAUACCGGAUAAUAUAUUGAACCGCAUGGUUCAAUAGUGAAAGACGGUUUUGCUGUCACUUAUAGAUGGAUCCGCGCCGCAUUAGCUAGUUGGUAAGGUAACGGCUUACCAAGGCAACGAUGCGUAGCCGACCUGAGAGGGUGCUCGACCACCCUGGAACUGAGACACGGUCCAGACUCCUACGGGAGGCAGCAGUAGGGAAUCUUCCGCAAUGGGCGAAAGCCUGACGGAGCAACGCCGCGUGAGUGAUGAAGGUCUUCGGAUCGUAAAACUCUGUUAUUAGGGAAGAACAAAUGUGUAAGUAACUAUGCACGUCUUGACGGUACCUAAUCAGAAAGCCACGGCUAACUACGUG